UCCCUCCAGAUUCCUUACAGCUCAGGUCUAAAUAUUGGUCGGAGUGGCUAACAAAGGAGGAAAGGAAAACCUGAAGUGGACCUGGUGUCUUUAGUGACUUAUGAGUUCAUUGAAAACAUCA
rnacentral:snoRNA from 1 species